rnacentral:rRNA from 1 species
GACGAACGCUGGCGGCGUGCUUAACACAUGCAAGUCGAACGGAAAGGCCCUGCUUUUGUGGGGUGCUCGAGUGGCGAACGGGUGAGUAACACGUGAGUAACCUGCCCUUGACUUUGGGAUAACUUCAGGAAACUGGGGCUAAUACCGGAUAGGAGCUCCUGCUGCAUGGUGGGGGUUGGAAAGUUUCGGCGGUUGGGGAUGGACUCGCGGCUUAUCAGCUUGUUGGUGGGGUAGUGGCUUACCAAGGCUUUGACGGGUAGCCGGCCUGAGAGGGUGACCGGCCACAUUGGGACUGGGAAACGGCCCAGACUCCUACGGGAGGCAGAAGGGGGGAAUAUUGCACAAUGGGCGGAAGCCUGAUGCAGCAACGCCGCGUGCGGGAUGACGGCCUUCGGGUUGGAAACCGCUUUCGCCUGGGACGAAGCGUGAGUGACGGUAAUGGGUAAAGAAGCACCGGCUAACUACGUG